rnacentral:rRNA from 1 species
UAGGGAAUCUUCCGCAAUGGGCGAAAGCCUGACGGAGCAACGCCGCGUGAGUGAUGAAGGUCUUCGGAUCGUAAAACUCUGUUAUUAGGGAAGAACAAAUGUGUAAGUAACUAUGCACGUCUUGACGGUACCUAAUCAGAAAGCCACGGCUAACUACGGGCCAGCAGCCGCGGUAAUACGUAGGUGGCAAGCGUUAUCCGGAAUUAUUGGGCGUAAAGCGCGCGUAGGCGGUUUUUUAAGUCUGAUGUGAAAGCCCACGGCUCAACCGUGGAGGGUCAUUGGAAACUGGAAAACUUGAGUGCAGAAGAGGAAAGUGGAAUUCCAUGUGUAGCGGUGAAAUGCGCAGAGAUAUGGAGGAACACCAGUGGCGAAGGCGACUUUCUGGUCUGUAACUGACGCUGAUGUGCGAAAGCGUGGGGAUCAAACAGG